CCUACGGGAGGCAGCAGUAGGGAAUAUUGCUCAAUGGGGGAAACCCUGAAGCAGCAACGCCGCGUGGAGGAUGACGGUUUUCGGAUUUUAAACUCCUUUUGUUAGAGAAGAUAAUGACGGUAUGUAACGAAUAAGCCCCGGCUAACUCCGUUCCAGCAGCCGCGGCAAUACGGAGGGUGCAGGCGUUACCCGGAAUGACUGGGCGUAAAGGGCGCGUAGGCGGGAUAGCAAGUCAGAUGUGAAAUCCUACGGCUUAACCAUAGAACUGCAUUUGAAACUGGUAUUCUAGAGUAUGGGAGAGGUAGGUGGAAUUCGUGGUGUAGGGGUAAAAUCCUUAGAGAUCAAGAGGAAUACUCAUUGCGAAGGCGACCUGCUAGAACAUAACUGACGCUGAUGCGCGAAAGCGUGGGGAGCAAACAGGAUUAGAUACCCUGGUAGUC
rnacentral:rRNA from 1 species